CGUUCGUCUCGCCAACCCGAACACUCAUUUCUAAACCUUCCCACCUCUUCACACCAUUUGAAACAGACGUAUUUUUUAUCAGAAUCCUUCAAAAAUAGCGAUCUCAGCAGUAAUUCUGAAAUUUGCGCAUGUCUAGCGAGUCGAACAAUCUUUGUCACCAUUCAACUAAACUUAAUGAUAAUACACCCAAAAUUCAGCCUCUGUGCCAAUGGCGUGUAGUCAAUUUCAUAGCAUCAUUGGUACAAGAAGAUAACGCGACCGGCACUGAUUCGAUUUGCGCCCACCGGCAUUAAUCUCCCAGCGCAACCGAAUUGCGUAUGUCUGAAUGAAACAAAAUAAAAACGUUUUCGCGUCCCUCCCCAUCGCAUCACAAGCCGAAGAAGGAUGGAAAUAAAUACGGCCAACACCACACUGAACCAAAUCUGGCAAUAAAAUUUAUAGGGUCAAUUUAGUGAAUCUUAAAGUUCAACGUGUAAUAGGAACUACUGAUACAUCCAGUACAAAGUAUAUGAAAUUCCAAUGAAUCUCAGCAGCUAGUUGAAGUCAAUAACGAGUAAGAGAAUUUCCUAUAAAUUCAAGCAGUUCUAUGUUAAUAUACAUCUUAACAGAUAGUUAUCCAUUCGGUGGUCUUGGGGUUCGUUAUUUUUCAGAUUCAGUGCUACUCGAUUGGAAGAGGUAGCUGUUCUGUUGGACAAAAACAUCAACAAUGCUAAGGAUGCGAGAAAGACAUUCGACUUAAGAACAAAUGCAGCAUGUUUAAAAAAUUGUUCCCCCGCUGGGAGAAGAGGUGUUGAAAUGGAACACCACCAUCAUCAGGGAAUCAGUAAAAAUGCUGGCGACAGUUGGAUUGCUGGAAGAAUUAUUGUUAUACUUUUAUCUGCUCUGGUCAAGAAUCCUCUGGCCUCCCUAAAGCACUGGGUUGGAAAAAUCCGUGUUGAAUUUUAUGAAGAGGAUGAAACUAUAAUUAACUAACGACAUCCGAAUGACCGUCGAAUGUGCUUUGGAUUUCCAAGGAAAAGCGCGAUAUGAUGCUGCAUCCAGUUCCUCAGGGUUCACCGGAAUGUUUCUAUGCCCGAAAAAAAGCGCAGGUCAUAACCCAGCAUACAGAAAUUCUCAACUGGAAACAACCGAUUCCGUUGGACUCACCGGCGAACUGAGCUACCGUAAUACUGGCUCAAGAUUCGUGCACCGGGAAGGUUUUACUACAGCAAGAGAGAAAACAGCAGUAAUGGAGCUGGAGCAGGCGGAGUCCCGCAACCGAAUACAAACUACGCCACGCGUGUUCCGUGUUCCCGUGCAGUUUUCCGAUUUUCAAAGAGAUGCCUUUUUCGAACUUAUUUAAAAAAAGCAAAAUUGUAUUGCAUUCAAUAAUAGAGUUAAUUUUAAUUUAAAGCUUACAAUGUAAAUAACAUUAUUGAUAGUACAUACG